UGUCUUUGUUCCCUCGUUUGCC
rnacentral:siRNA from 1 species